rnacentral:miRNA from 1 species
UACAUGUAUGUGUGUAUGUGCAUAUGGUAUGUGUGUAUAGUAUGCAAGUGUAUACACACAAACACACA